GCCAUGAACAGCAUUCUUAAUUUCCACAAACGCACAACCAAAUCAUGGACCAAGAAAAAAACAUCAGUUCCUUACAGAUCUCCACUCUUUGUUUUACUCGUCUCUGUCUUCACAGUCUUCUUUUUUCUUGUGCUUUUCACUUACUAUUCUAAAACCUCCAAUUCUCUUUUGCAUAAAACCAUAAAUCCCCAAAUCACUCAAUGUAGCAGAUUCCAAGCCCUGUCCGGAGGAGAGAAGUUCCUCUGGUACGCACCACACG
rnacentral:misc_RNA from 1 species